GACGAACGCUGGCGGCGUGCUUAACACAUGCAAGUCGAGCGGUAAGGCCCUUUCGGGGGUACACGAGCGGCGAACGGGUGAGUAACACGUGGGUGACCUGCCCUCAGCUCUGGGAUAAGCCUGGGAAACCGGGUCUAAUACCGGAUAUGACUCCAUGACGCAUGUUGUGGGGUGAAANCCUUGUGCGGCUGAGGAUGGGCCCGCGGCCUAUCAGCUUGUUGGUGGGGUNAUGGCCUACCAAGGCGACGACGGGUAGCCGGCCUGAGAGGGCCGACCGGCCACACUGGGACUGAGACACGGCCCAGACUCCUACGGGAGGCAGCAGUGGGGAAUCUUGCGC
rnacentral:rRNA from 1 species